UACGUAUGGUGCAAGCGUUAUCCGGAUUUACUGGGUGUAAAGGGAGCGCAGGCGGCGCGUUAAGCCUGGUGUGAAAGCCCGCGGCCCAACCGCGGGACUGCAUUGGGAACUGGCGCGCUGGAGUGCCGGAGGGGUAGGCGGAAUUCCUAGUGUAGCGGUGAAAUGCGUAGAUAUUAGGAGGAACACCAGUGGCGAAGGCGACCUACUGGACGGUGACUGACGCUGAGGCUCGAAAGCGUGGGGAGCAAACAGG
rnacentral:rRNA from 1 species